UACGUAGGUGGCAAGCGUUGUCCGGAAUUCUUUGGCGUAAAGCGCGCUCAGGCGGUCCUUUAAGUCUGAUGUUAAAGCCCACGGCUCAACCGUGGAGGGUCAUUGGAAACUGGGGGACUUGAGUACAGAAGAGAAGAGUGGAAUUCCACGUGUAGCGGUGAAAUGCGUAGAGAUGUGGAGGAACACCAGUGGCGAAGGCGGCAUUCUGGACCGGCAUUGACGCUGAGGCGCGAAAGCUAGGGGAGCAAACGGG
rnacentral:rRNA from 1 species